rnacentral:rRNA from 1 species
GAUGAACGCUAGUGGCAGGCCUAAUACAUGCAAGUCGAGGGGUAGAGGUUGCUUGCAACCUUGAGACCGGCGCACGGGUGCGUAACGCGUAUGCAACCUACCUUUAUCUGGGGGAUAGCCCGAAGAAAUUCGGAUUAAUACCGCAUAAAAUCACAGAACGGCAUCGUUUCAUGAUCAAACAUUUAUGGGAUAAAGAUGGGCAUGCGUGUCGUUAGUUAGUUGGCGGGGUAACGGCCCACCAAGACGACGAUGACUAGGGGAUCUGAGAGGAUGACCCCCCACACUGGUACUGAGACACGGACCAGACUCGUACGGGGGGCAGCAGUAAGGAAUAUUGGUCAAUGGAGGCAACUCUGAACCAGCCAUGCCGCGUGCAGGAUGACGGCCCUCCGGGUUGUAAACUGCUUUUAUUCGGGAAUAAACCUACUUACGUGUAAGUAGCUGAAUGUACCGAAGGAAUAAGGAUCGGCUAACGCCGUGCCAGCCGCCGCGGUAAGAC